rnacentral:rRNA from 1 species
GAUCAUGGCUCAGAUUGAACGCUGGCGGCAGGCUUAACACAUGCAAGUCGAACGGGGAAAGGUAGCUUGCUACCUGACCUAGCGGCGGACGGGUGAGUAAUGCUUAGGAAUCUGCCUAUUAGUGGGGGACAACAUCUCGAAAGGGAUGCUAAUACCGCAUACGUCCUACGGGAGAAAGCAGGGGACCUCGGCCGUUCGUCGCUAUAGAUGAGCCUAACGUCGGAGUUAGUCUAGUUGGUUGGGGUAAAGGGUACCG